rnacentral:rRNA from 1 species
GUGGGGAAUUUUGGACAAUGGGCGCAAGCCUGAUCCAGCAAUGCCGCGUGCAGGAAGAAGGCCUUCGGGUUGUAAACUGCUUUUGUACGGAACGAAACGGUCCUGGUUAAUACCUGGGGCUAAUGACGGUACCGUAAGAAUAAGCACCGGCUAACUACGUGCCAGCAGCCGCGGUAAUACGUAGGGUGCGAGCGUUAAUCGGAAUUACUGGGCGUAAAGCGUGCGCAGGCGGUUUUGUAAGACAGGCGGGAAAUCCCCGGGCUCAACCUGGGAAUGGCGCUUGUGACUGCAAAGCUGGAGUGCGGCAGAGGGGGAUGGAAUUCCGCGUGUAGCAGUGAAAUGCGUAGAUAUGCGGAGGAACACCGAUGGCGAAGGCAAUCCCCUGGGCCUGCACUGACGCUCAUGCACGAAAGCGUGGGGAGCAAACAGGAUUAGAAACCCUUGUAGUCC